AUGGGCACCGUCANNNNNNNNNNNNCGCACCCGGCCUUCCUCGCCGACAAGGGCGCCAGGGUCUUCGUGGCGGGCCACCGCGGGCUGGUGGGCUCGGCCAUCCUGCGCCGCCUCCUCGCGCUCGGCUUCACCGACGUGGUCGUCCGCACGCACGCCGAGCUCGACCUCACCCGCCAGGCCGCCGUCGAGGCCUUCUUCGCCGCCGAGCGGCCCCGCUACGUCGUGCUCGCCGCCGCCAAGGUCGGCGGCAUCCACGCCAACUCCACCUUCCCCGCCGACUUCAUCGCCGCCAACCUCCAGAUCCAGACCAACGUCGUCGACGCCGCGCUCCGCUGCGGCUCCGUCCGCAAGCUCCUCUUCCUCGGCUCCUCCUGCAUCUACCCAAAGUUCGCGCCGCAGCCCAUCCCGGAGGGCUCCCUCCUCUCCGGCCCGCUCGAGCCCACCAACGAGUGGUACGCCGUCGCCAAGAUCGCCGGCAUCAAGAUGUGCCAGGCCUACCGCAUCCAGCACGGCCUCGACGCCGUCUCCGCCAUGCCCACCAAUCUCUAUGGCCCGCAGGACAACUUCCACCCGGAGAACUCCCACGUCCUGCCCGCGCUCAUCCGCCGGUUCCACGAGGCCAAGGCCACCAAUGCCCCCGAGGUCGUCGUGUGGGGAUCUGGCUCCCCGCUCCGUGAAUUCUUGCAUGUCGAUGACCUUGCAGAUGCGGUGAUCUUCUUGAUGGAUCAGUACUCGGGCCUGGAGCAUGUAAAUGUGGGAAGUGGAAGCGAGGUUACCAUCAAGGAGCUCGCCGAGCUGGUCAAGGAGGUGGUUGGGUUCCAGGGGAAGCUAGUGUGGGACUCGACCAAGCCGGAUGGCACGCCGAGGAAGCUCAUGGAUAGCUCCAAGAUACAUGGGAUGGGGUGGAAGCCCAAGGUUCCUCUCAAGGAGGGGCUUGUCGAGACAUACAAGUGGUAUGUGGAGAAUGUCAUCGCCGACAAGAAGUAA
rnacentral:rRNA from 1 species